CAGUCGCCGCGGUAAUACGAAGGGUGCAAGCGUUACUCGGAAUUACUGGGCGUAAAGCGUGUGUAGGUGGUUGUUUAAGUCUGUCGUGAAAGCCCUGGGCUCAACCUGGGAAUUGCGAUGGAUACUGGGCGACUAGAGUGCGGUAGAGGAUAGUGGAAUUUCCGGUGUAGCAGUGAAAUGCGUAGAGAUCGGAAGGAACAUCUGUGGCGAAGGCGACUAUCUGGGCCAACACUGACACUGAGACACGAAAGCGUGGGGAGCAAACAGGAUUAGAUACCCGCGUAGUCCCUGUCUCUUAUAC
rnacentral:rRNA from 1 species